CUUUAAGGCUUCUUACCCUCAGAGCUUGCUAGCUGGGGAAGCACCAGGACAACCACCCUGACACUGAUUUUGGGUGGAAGUUUCAGAAACCUCUGCAGACUUGACCAUUGCUCACUGGGAGGCUUUUCCCUAGGGUGGCAGAUGGUGGGACAUUCAUUGGAAAGCUCCUCUUGUGCAUCUUCCUGAAGGCUGCGUGGUGGUCAGCACACUCCUGCUUCACUGCAUAGCACUUCACAGAUUUCUCUGCACUACAGGGGUGAUGGCAGUCUUCCUUCUCAGCGUCCUGAUGCCCAGAAAUAAGACUCUUUUGUCACCUUCCAUGAAUCUGCGCUAUCUCAGUGCAGUAAAAAGUUUAUUCAGAGAAUGAAGCUCAUCACAUGUCUCUCAAUUGUCUGCAUAUUUUUUGGUUGCAUCCGAUUUCUUUUAAGGUUUUGCCAGGAUCUUUGGGACAAGCCAUGAAGAAGAGACAAGAAGUUUUCUGUUCCAGAAAGUCUGCAGACCAAACCCAGUAGCUUAUUUAUUUCUUUG